rnacentral:rRNA from 1 species
UAGAGUUUGAUCAUGGCUCAGGAUGAACGCUGGCGGCGUGCCUAAUACAUGCAAGUCGAGCGGUAAGGUUCUCACAGUUUGCUUAACACUUCUUGGUAUCAAGGAGGGAAUGUUGAGUAAAGUGUGAGAAUACACGAGCGGCGGACGGCUGAGUAACACGUAGGAACGUACCCCAAACUGAGGGAUAAGCACCAGAAAUGGUGUCUAAUACCGCAUGUGCUCUAAGGAGUAAAGCUACGGCGGUUUGGGAACGGCCUGCGCAUGAUUAGCUUGUUGGUGAGGUAAUAGCUCACCAAGGCGACGAUCAUUAGCUGGUCUGAGAGGAUGAUCAGCCAGACUGGGACUGAGAACGGCCCAGACUCCUACGGGAGGCAGCAGUAGGGAAUUUUCCACAAUGGACGAAAGUCUGAUGGAGCAACGCCGCGUGCAGGAUGAAUGCCUUCGGGUUGUAAACUGCUUUUAUAUGUGACGAUUUUGACGGUAGCAUAUGAAUAAGGAUCGGCUAACUCCGUGCCAGCAGCCGCGGUCAUACGGAGGAUCCAAGCGUUAUCCGGAAUUACUGGGCGUAAAGAGUUGCGUAGGCGGUCGUGUAAGUUGGUAGUGAAAGCGUGGGGCUCAACCUCAUAUCCAUUACCAAAACUGCACUGACUAGAGCAUGAGAGAGGUGGCUGGAAUUCCCUGUGUAGGAGUGAAAUCCGUAGAUAUAGGGAGGAACACCGAUGGCGUAGGCAGGCCACUGGCUCAUUGCUGACGCUCAGGCACGAAAGCGUGGGGAGCGACCGGGAUUAGAUACCCCGUUAGUCCACGCCGUAAACGAUGGAUGCUAGCUGUUAUGAGUAUCGACCCUCGUAGUAGCGAAGCUAACGCGUUAAGCAUCCCGCCUGUGGAGUACGAGCGCAAGCUUAAAACUCAAAGGAAUUGACGGGGACCCGCACAAGCGGUGGAUGAUGUGGAUUAAUUCGAUGCAACGCGAAAAACCUUACCUACCCUUGACAUGCCAGGAACUUGCCAGAGAUGGCUUGGUGCCCGAAAGGGAGCCUGGACACAGGUGCUGCAUGGCUGUCGUCAGCUCGUGUCGUGAGAUGUUGGGUUAAGUCCCGCAACGAGCGCAACCCUUGUCAUUAGUUGCCAGCAUUAAGUUGGGCACUCUAAUGAGACUGCCGGUGACAAACCGGAGGAAGGUGGGGAUGACGUCAAGUCCUCAUGGCCCUUAUGGGUAGGGCUUCACACGUCAUACAAUGGUCGGUACAGAGGGUUGCCAAGCCGCGAGGUGGAGCCAAUCCCACAAAGCCGAUCGUAGUCCGGAUUGCACUCUGCAACUCGAGUGCAUGAAGUCGGAAUCGCUAGUAAUCGCGGAUCAGCAUGUCGCGGUGAAUACGUUCCCGGGUCUUGUACACACCGCCCGUCACACCAUGGGAGCGGGUUCUACCAGAAGCAGUUAGCCUAACCGCAAGGGGGGCGAUUGCCACGGUAGGAUUCGUGACUGGGGUGAAGUCGUAACAAGGUAGCCGUA